rnacentral:rRNA from 1 species
UUUUUGUGUCUUACGUAUGUACUUGUUAGCCUUUAAGAGAAAAGUUUACAACUUAAGGAAUUAUAACAAAGAAGUAACACAUAAUAAGUUUACCUUAUUUAGUGUGUAUCAAUCGAGUUUCUGACCUAUCAGCUUUUGAUGUUAGGGUAUUGGCCUAACAUGGCUAUGACGGGUAACGGGGAAUUAGAGUUCGAUUCCGGAGAGGGAGCCUGAGAAAUAGCUACCACAUCUAAGGAAGGCAGCAGGCGCGUAAAUUACCCAAUUCUAAAGAAGAGAGGUAGUGACAAGAAAUAACAAUACAAGGCCAUUUCAUGGUUUUGUAAUUGGAAUGAUGGGAAUUUAAAACCUUCCCAAAAUUCAAUUGGAGGGCAAGUCUGGUGCCAGCAGCCGCGGUAAUUCCAGCUCCAAUAGCGUAUAUUAAAAUUGUUGCAGUUAAAACGCUCGUAGUUGAAUUUCAAAGAAUCAAUAUUUUAAGUAAUGCUUUUGGUUUAAGAUGCUUAGACAAUACAACGUAUCUGCUCUUUGCAUUCCUUAUCCAAAAUGUGUUCUUAUUAUAAAAAGGAUUCUUUUUAAAAUCUCCUCUACUUUCUUGUACUGGAGAUUUUGUUACUUUGAGUAAAUUAGAGUGUUCAAAGCAAACAGUUAAAGCAUUUUACUGCGUUUGAAUACUACAGCAUGGAAUAACAAAAUUGAACAAGUCAAAAUUCUGUUCCUUUUUCUUAUUUUGGCU